rnacentral:sRNA from 1 species
CUCCUUCCUCACGAACCAGAGGCCUUCAGCUUUCCUUGUGGCCUCAGGAAGCUGCAUCUGAGGGGAAGCUGGCAGCCAGGAGAAAGGAAUCAAGUUGGUAAAUUCCACCCUUAAGCGGGGGCUUAAGGAUCUGCCUCGGGCUGAUUCUUCAGCUUCCCGCUUAGGAAAAAAUGACCGUAGUGAGGGUGCCUGGGGACACUGAUACUGGUAACUUGUGCCCGAAGCUCUACCUUAGCCGGGAGUCGGAAUGUUGUCGGUGUUUAAUUGUGGCGGCAGGAAGUGAACUGAGUCAGCAGUGGGAGG